UACGUAGGGGGCAAGCGUUGUCCGGAUUUAUUGGGCGUAAAGAGCGUGUAGGCGGCCAAGCAGGUCCGCUGUGAAAACUAGAGGCUCAACCUCGAGACGUCGGUGGAAACCGUUUGGCUAGAGUCCGGAAGAGGAGAGUGGAAUUCCCGGUGUAGCGGUGAAAUGCGCAGAUAUCGGGAAGAACACCCGUGGCGAAGGCGGCUCUCUGGGACGGUACUGACGCUGAGACGCGAAAGCGUGGGGAGCGAACAGG
rnacentral:rRNA from 1 species